UACGUAGGGCGCAAGCGUUAUCCGGAAUUAUUGGGCGUAAAGAGCUCGUAGGCGGCUUGUCGCGUCGUCCGUGAAAACUUGGGGCUCAACCCCAAGCUUGCGGUCGAUACGGGCAGGCUCGAGUUCGGUAGGGGAGACUGGAAUUCCUGGUGUAGCGGUGAAAUGCGCAGAUAUCAGGAGGAACACCGGUGGCGAAGGCGGGUCUCUGGGCCGAUACUGACGCUGAGGAGCGAAAGCGUGGGGAGCGAACAGG
rnacentral:rRNA from 1 species